AGUGAACGCUGGCGGUAGGCCUAACACAUGCAAGUCGAACGGCAGCACAGUAAGAGCUUGCUCUUACGGGUGGCGAGUGGCGGACGGGUGAGGAAUAUAUCGGAAUCUACUUUUUCGUGGGGGAUAACGUAGGGAAACUUACGCUAAUACCGCAUACGACCUACGGGUGAAAGCAGGGGAUCUUCGGACCUUGCGGGAUUGAAUGAGCCGAUGUCGGAUUAGCUAGUUGGCGGGGUAAAGGCCCACCAAGGCGACGAUCCGUAGCUGGUCUGAGAGGAUGAUCGGCCACACUGGAACUGAGACACGCUCCAGACUCCUACGGGAGGCAGCAGUGGGGAAUAUUGGACAAUGGGCGCAAGCCUGAUCCAGCCAUACCGCGUGGGUGAAGAAGGCCUUCGGGUUGUAAAGCCCUUUUGUUGGGAAAGAAAAGCAGCAGGUUAAUACCCCGCUGUUCUGACGGUACCCAAAGAAUAAGCACCGGCUAACUUCGUG
rnacentral:rRNA from 1 species